AGAGUUUGAUCCUGGCUCAGGAUGAACGCUAGCUACAGGCUUAACACAUGCAAGUCGAGGGGCAGCAUGACGAUAGCUUGCUAUUGUUGAUGGCGACCGGCGCACGGGUGAGUAACGCGUAUCCAACCUGCCCUUGUCCAUCGGAUAACCCGUCGAAAGGCGGCCUAACACGAUAUGCAGUUCUCAGCAGGCAUCUAACGAGAACGAAAUGUGAAGGAGAAGGAUGGGGAUGCGUCUGAUUAGCUUGUUGGCGGGGUAACGGCCCACCAAGGCAACGAUCAGUAGGGGUUCUGAGAGGAAGGUCCCCCACAUUGGAACUGAGACACGGUCCAAACUCCUACGGGAGGCAGCAGUGAGGAAUAUUGGUCAAUGGACGGAAGUCUGAACCAGCCAAGUAGCGUGCAGGAUGACGGCCCUAUGGGUUGUAAACUGCUUUUAUACGGGGAUAAAGUGAGCCACGUGUGGCUUAUUGCAGGUACCGUAUGAAUAAGGACCGGCUAAUUCCGUGCCAGCAGCCGCGGUAAUACGGAAGGUCCGGGCGUUAUCCGGAUUUAUUGGGUUUAAAGGGAGCGUAGGCCGUUUGUUAAGCGUGUUGUGAAAUGUCGGGGCUUAACCUGGGCAUUGCAGCGCGAACUGGCAGACUUGAGUGCGCGGGAAGUAGGCGGAAUUCGUCGUGUAGCGGUGAAAUGCUUAGAUAUGACGAAGAACUCCGAUUGCGAAGGCAGCCUGCUGUAGCGUAACUGACGCUGAAGCUCGAAAGCGUGGGUAUCGAACAGGAUUAGAUACCCUGGUAGUCCACGCGGUAAACGAUGGAUGCUCGCUGUUUGCGUCUGACGUAAGCGGCCAAGCGAAAGCGUUAAGCAUCCCACCUGGGGAGUACGCCGGCA
rnacentral:rRNA from 1 species